CUAUGCGGAGAUGGGGUUAGAUGAUUGCAAGAGCAUCCCGCCCUUCGGGAUGUCCUGUGCGCAGGGGAUGGUCCAUGAAAAUCUAAGCAAGUAAAUAUUCUCGGACUGAGUCGUACUGAUAACCGCAUCAGGUCUCCUAGGUGAACAGCCUCUGGCGAAAUAGAAUAAUGUAAGUUAGGGAAGCCGGCAAAACUGUUUUGUAACUUCGGGAUAAAAAGUGGCUCUAAAGAUUGGGUGAGGGGGGCCUCAUUGGUGGUUUCGAGAGCGCCUAGGAUGGGGAGCCGCCUUUCGGGGUAGCAUCGCUGUCUUGGGUGUUUUUGGAGCCUUACUGGUGGGGACGCUGGGGGGAAGUUCGUUCUCGUAGCGGAUUUCUUUACAGUCUUAGCCCGCUCACGGGUAACAAUCAAUUUAGAACUGGUACGAACACGAGGAAUCCGACUGUUUAAUUAAAACAAAGCAUUGUGAUGGACUUAAUAGUUGUUGACACAAUGUGAUUUCUGCUCAGUGCUCUGAAUGUCAAGGUGAAGAAAUUCAAUCAAGCGCGGGUAAACAGCGGGAGUAACUAUGACUCUCUUAAGGUAGCCAAAUGCCUCGUAAUCUAAUUAGUGACGCGCACGAAUGGAUCAAUGAGAUUCCUACUGUCCCAACUUACUAUCUAGCGAACCACAGCUAAGGGAACGGGCUUAGCAAAAUCAGCGGGGAAAGAAGACCCUGUUGAGCUUAACUCUAGUCUGACUUUGUGAAUUGAUGCGAGGGGUAUAGAAUAGGUGGGAGCGAAAGCAAUCUUGUAAUACCACUACCCUUGACGUUGAUUCGCUUAUUUACUUGAAUAGGGAAGGGGGGAAACCCCCAAUUUCUGGAACUAAUUGGGUUAACAAGCUCUGGGAACUGGCUCUUUCGGGGGUCAGUGCUGCUGGGGCCUCUGUUCUCGAGAUCUAAUGUAAAGACACUGUCAGGUGGGGAGUUUGGCUGGGGCGGCACAUCUGUUAAAAGAUAACACAGGUGUCCAAAGGGAGGCUCAAUAAGAACAGAAAUCUCAUGUAAAACAAAAGGGCAAAAGCCUCCUUGAUUUGGAUUUCCACAGUAAGAAUACAAACUGCGAAAGCAUGGCCUAUCGAUCCUUUAACCAUUGCGUUUCGGAUCUAAAGUUAGAGGUGUCAGAAAAGUUACCACAGGGAUAACUGGCUUGUGGCUGCCAAGCGUGCAUAGCGACGUAGCUUUUUGAUCCUUCGAUGUCGGCUCUUCCUAUCAUUGCGAAGCAGAAUUCGCCAAGUGUUGGAUUGUUCACCCUUCAAAAGGGAACGUGAGCUGGGUUUAGACCGCCGUGAGACAGGUUAGUUUUACCCUACUGAUGAAAGUGUACG
rnacentral:rRNA from 1 species